ensembl:lncRNA
AUUGGAGCCAGGACUUCACACUUACCAUUCUCUAUUUAUACAUUUCUAUGUUCCAUUAAAAAUGUAUAGAUCUCCUUUCCUCUUUAUGUGUCUGACCUGAAGCAAGGAGAGUGCAACAGAUGUUUGGCUCGUGUUGUUCAAACUUGCUUUUUGGUUGGUGAUUUAAACCUGAUUAUUUUCACUCUGGACUCAAAUUGAAGGGAAUUGCUGCGUUGUGCUUCAGUUGAAGUGUGCUAACAGUACUUGACUCUUUGAUGGCUCUCAUGAGUGCUGCUGACCCCCACAUCUCAGUCUGAAUGGAGCCAUCUACCCAUCCACGGCUGUCAGAAGGGCUGCUUCUGGUACUCCGUUUCAAGAAAACAGGCCCUUGAGAGUCCGCAUUGUCUUAAACCCUGUUCAAGCCUGCGCGUUUAUUGCAAUGCAUUGCUGAUGAGCACGGUGGAGUUGCAGGCAGAGCGACUCCAUCUCGCUCAGUAACACCAGACUCAACUGCCCCCAGCUAUCCUGCUCUGAGCUUGAACCGGGCAGGCCAGGCAGAACCACACAGCCGGCCUAAGGAGAAGAGGAGCUCGGGGGGGCAGUACGCAGCAUGUUACCGGAGGGUUAUGACGAGUCAGUUUCAGACGAGAUAAAAUGUGCAGACAAACAGGAUGUCAUGCAACCUGUCCAUAUUGGCAUCUGCUGGAUUUAGUUGGCUUCUUCCAAAUGGCAUGAGUUUGUGCCAAAAAUACUGGAGAAUUUGACAACAAAAGAUAAAGGAACAUGUAUUUCUGCCAAAUACUGAAACUUGACAACAAAAGACAUAAGAAC